rnacentral:rRNA from 1 species
GACAGAGGGGGCAAGCGUUGCUCGGAAUUACUGGGCGUAAAGGGCGCGUAGGCGGGAUGGCAAGUCGGUCGUGAAAUCCCUCGGCUCAACCGAGGAACGUCGAUCGAUACUGCUGUUCUUGAGGAUUGCAGAGGAGACUGGAAUUCCCGGUGUAGCGGUGAAAUGCGUAGAUAUCGAGAGGAACACCUGCGGCGAAGGCGGGUUGCUGGGCCGACACUGACGCUGAAGUGCGAAAGCUAGGGGGACGCAACGGG